GGAGCGGGAAAAGGACAGACCGGUGAACUCUCGAGCCCAAGCGGAGACCCAUUACAGGAGCGUAUCUUCCGAAUCGCCGCAGAGGAUCGCAAAGACAAGUGCCUCGACUGCAGCACCGAUUGUUUCCAAAUCGUACUACAGCGAGCCCGACCAGAGCUAUCCCUAUUACACCAUCUACGACGACGAUGUCUCCAUCUACAAGGAUGACGAUUACAAUCAGUACACCGUGAACCAAUCGACACCGAUUCAAGCGUCUCUCUUGCCUCCUCAACAUCAACAACAACAACAGCAGCAGCAGCAGCA